AGACUCUUUACCUGACCUAUGCUCGAAGGUGCGGGAUAUAGGACCAGGAUUAGAUACCUUGUAGUCCCCCCCGUAUAACAGAUGGAUGCCCGCUGUCUGCGAUACAAAGUAGGCGGGCAAAGAGAAAGCCGUUAAGCAUCCCAAAUGGGGAGUACGCCGGCAACGGUGAAACUCAAAGGAAUUGACGGGGGCCCGCACAAGCGGAGGAACAUGUGGUUUAAUUCGAUGAUACGCGAGGAACCUUACCCGGGCUUGAACUGCAGGGGAACGCGGCAGAGAUGCCAAGGUCAGCAAUGACCCCUGUGGAGGUGCUGCAUGGUUGUCGUCAGCUCGUGCCGUGAGGUGUCGGCUUAAGUGCCAUAACGAGCGCAACCCCUUUCGCCAGUUGCCAGCACGCGAUGGUGGGCACUCUGGGGACACUGCCACCGUAAGGUGCGAGGAAGGUGGGGAUGACGUCAAAUCAGCACGGCCCUUACGUCCGGGGCUACACACGUGGAACGAUGGGGGGUACAGAGAGCUGGCCGCUCGCAAGAGCGGCCGAAUCAGGAAAGCCUCCCUCAGUUCGGAUUGGGGUCUGCAACCCGACCCCAUGAAGCUGGA
rnacentral:rRNA from 1 species